rnacentral:rRNA from 1 species
GUUGUUUUGUCUUUUUUUUUAUUUUUGUUUUUAUGUUAUUUUUGUAAAAUGUUUUAGUUUUUAUAUUUUUUAAAAAGACAUUUAAAAUUUGUUUUUUGAACUGGAUUAGUACCCAGGUAAUCAAAAUUAAUUAAUUCGGGAGUAAAGUUUUGUUUAAACCGAAAAAAUAUUGACUGACCUUGGAUUUUUCUUUGGAAUAUGCGUAUGGAGAGCCCUCUUUUUUGGUGAGUCUUAUCGGCACAUGUAUGAUUGUUUAGUUUUUAUUUUAUUUGUAAUGCUUUUUAUGUUUUGUCAUUUAAAACAGAUAUAUAUUUGGCUUAUGGACUUAUAAUCGUGUGUUACUAUUAUUAAUUUUUUUUGGAUUAUUUUUUUAUUUUUUUUUGAAAUUGGAAAAGAAAGUAAUUUUUUUUUUAUAUGA